rnacentral:rRNA from 1 species
UGGCUCAGAGUGAACGUUGGCGGCGUGGAUUAGGCAGUGCAAGUCGAGCGAUCGUAGCAAUACGGGAGCGGCAAACGGGGUAGGAAUACAUCGGAACGUACCUUUUGGUUGAGAUAGCGUUGGGAAACUGACGGUAAUACUCAAUAAAGUCGAGAGACCAAAGGUUUACUGCCGGAAGAGCGGCCGAUGCGAUAUUAGGUAGUUGGUGGGGUAAUGGCCUACCAAGCCUGAGAUGUCUAGGGGGUGUGAGAGCAUGGCCCCCACCACUGGGACUGAGAUACUGCCCAGACACCUACGGGUGGCUGCAGUCGAGGAUCUUCGUCAAUGGGCGAAAGCCUGAACGAGCGACGCCGCGUGCGGGAUGAAGGCCCUUGGGUUGUAAACCGCUGUCAGGGGGGAUGAAACCGUAAGGUUGACAGAGCCCCAGAGGAAGCACGGGCUAAGUUCGUG